rnacentral:rRNA from 1 species
AUUGAACGCUGGCGGCAUGCUUUACACAUGCAAGUCGAACGGCAGCGGGGGCUUCGGCCUGCCGGCGAGUGGCGAACGGGUGAGUAAUGCAUCGGAACGUGCCCAUGUCGUGGGGGAUAACGUAGCGAAAGCUACGCUAAUACCGCAUAUUCUGUGAGCAGGAAAGCAGGGGAUCGCAAGACCUUGCGCUGAUUGAGCGGCCGAUAUCAGAUUAGCUAGUUGGUGGGGUAAAGGCCUACCAAGGCGACGAUCUGUAGCGGGUCUGAGAGGAUGAUCCGCCACACUGGAACUGAGACACGGUCCAGACUCCUACGGGAGGCAGCAGUCGGGAAUAUUGGACAAUGGGGGCAACCCUGAUCCAGCAAUACCGCGUGUGUGAAGAAGGCCUGCGGGUUGUAAACCGCUUUCGAACAGAAAGAAAUCGCAUGGACUAAUACUCUGUGUGGAUGACGGUACUGUAAG